rnacentral:rRNA from 1 species
AUGAGUAACACAACCAUCUCCAUCAUGAACUGGAAUGUUUGGGGGCUGAACUCGCCGACCAAGAGAGCAACCAGUUGCGAGACUGCCAAUGCUCAUAGCCUCGCUCUCCUCUGUUUGCAAGAGACCAAGAUCAAUGCAUGGACACAAGGCAUCAUCAGAGAGAUCGGCGGAGGCCGUCUAGACAACUGCGUCGUGCUCCCAGCCGUGGGUACGCGCGGUGGGGCAGCAAUCUUCUAGGACUCCACCAAGGUCGUCGUGGCUACGCACUCCGUGGGGCAAUUCUUCAUCACCGCCAGUGUCCUCCAACUGCACACCAACACUUCUUUCUGGUUAACAACAGUGUAUGACCCUGUCGGCGAAGCCAGGAAAGAUGAGUUCCUCGAUGAGAUGAUCAGAAUCAGGCCGGCCCACGGCGAGCCAUGGCUGAUCAACGGAGAUUUCAACAUCAUCUACGAGGCAAGAGACAAAAGCAACCACAACCUGAACAGGAGAAUUAUGGGCAGAUUCAGAGACGCCAUUGCCACGGCAAGCCUGAAACAAAUCAAGUGCAAAAACAGACGCUUCACCUGGAGCAAUGAGAGGGAAAACCCAACCUUCGUCGCAAUCGGCAAAUUUUUCUGCAACCAAGAAUGGGAAGCUUCUUUACCAACGCACAUUCUCAUGGCGGCGUCCACCUCCUGCUCAGAUCAUUGCCUCCUGCUUCUGACAGACGCCGCGACACCACCCCGCAAGGCCGUUUUCAGAUUUGAAUCUUUCUGGCCCAAGUUUCCUCACUUCCAGCAGACGGUUGCCAGGGCAUGGCAGAGGCCGGUGAAUCACAAUUGCCCUUUUACCAGGAUGAAAAUCAAGCUCAAGACAACCGCGACCGACUUAAGGAUUUGGGCCAAAAGCAUCUUCAGCAACUCUAAACUUCAGUUCCACAUUGCAUCCGAAGUUGUUCUUCGGCUAGACGCAGCACAAGAAAAGCGUUAG